rnacentral:rRNA from 1 species
GAUGAACGUUGGCGGUGUGCCUAAUACAUGCAAGUCGAACGGAGACUGUAGCAAUACUGUCUUAGUGGCGAACGGGUGAGUAACGCGUUGGUGAUCUGCCUCGAAGUGUGGAAUAACCUCCCGAAAGGGAAGCUAAUACCGCAUAGUCUCUCAAGGUUUAGAAAAUUGAGAGUAAAGGAUUUAUUCGCUUCGAGAGGAGCCUGCGUCCCAUCAGCUAGUUGGUAGGGUAACGGCCUACCAAGGCAAUGACGGGUAGGGGACCUGAGAGGGUGGCCCCCCACAAUGGAACUGAAACACGGUCCAUACACCUACGGGUGGCAGCAGUAGGGAAUAUUAGAAAUGGGCGGAAGCCUGAUCUAGCAACACCGCGUGUGCGAUGAAGGCCUUGGGUCGUAAAGCACUUUUUGGAGGGAAUAGGAAGGAAGGUACCUCCAGAAUAAGUCUCGGCUAACUACGUGCCAGCAGCCGCGGUAAACGUAGCGUG